rnacentral:piRNA from 1 species
UUCUAAAGCAGUGCACCGAGUUCCGCAC